ACAGUGUCGCGAUAGUAAUUCAACCUAGUACGAGAGGAACCGUUGAUUCACACAAUUGGUUAUCGCGCUUGGUUGAAAAGCCAGUGGCGCGAAGCUAUCGUGUUCCCGAUUAUGACUGAACGCCUCUAAGUCAGAAUCCAAGCUAGCAUGCGACGCCUGCUCCCGCCGCCCGCCCCGACCCACGUUAGGGGCGCUUGCGCCCCCAAGGGCCCGUGCCAUUGGCUAAGCCGGUCCAGCCGACGUGCCGCGGCCGGCCGCCUCGAAGCUCCCUUCCCAAUGGGCGGUGGGCUGAAUCCUUUGCAGACGACUUAAAUAUGCGACGGGGCAUUGUAAGUGGCAGAGUGGCCUUGCUGCCACGAUCCACUGAGAUCCAGCCCCAUGUCGCACGGAUUC
rnacentral:rRNA from 1 species